GAUGAACGCUGGCGGCGUGCCUAAUACAUGCAAGUCGAGCGAGCAGACGAGGAGCUUGCUCCUCUGAGGUUAGCGGCGGACGGGUGAGUAACACGUGGAUAACCUACCUAUAAGACUGGGAUAACUUCGGGAAACCGGAGCUAAUACCGGAUAAUAUAUUCAACCGCAUGGUUCAAUAGUGAAAGACGGUUUUGCUGUCACUUAUAGAUGGAUCCGCGCCGCAUUAGCUAGUUGGUAAGGUAACGGCUUACCAAGGCAACGAUGCGUAGCCGACCUGAGAGGGUGAUCGGCCACACUGGAACUGAGACACGGUCCAGACUCCUACGGGAGGCAGCAGUAGGGAAUCUUGCGCAAUGGGCGCAAGCCUGACGGAGCAACGCCGCGUGAGUGAUGAAGGUCUUCGGAUCGUAAAACUCUGUUAUUAGGGAAGAAAAAAUGUGUAAGUAACUAUGCACGUCUUGACGGUACCCAAUCAGAAAGCCACGGCUAACUACGUG
rnacentral:rRNA from 1 species